rnacentral:rRNA from 1 species
GAUGAACGCUAGCGGCAGGCUUAAUACAUGCAAGUCGUGGGGCAGCAUGAGUAGCAAUACUUGAUGGCGACCGGCAAACGGGUGAGGAACACGUACACAACCUUCCUUCAAGCGGGGAAUAGCCCAGAGAAAUUUGGAUUAAUACCCCAUAAUAUAUUUGAUAAGGCAUCUUAUUAAUAUUAAAGCUUCGGCACUUGAUGAUGGGUGUGCGGCUGAUUAGAUAGUUGGCGGGUAACGGCCCACCAAGUCUACGAUCAGUAGCUGAUGUGAGAGCAUGGUCAGCCACACGGGCACUGAGACACGGGCCCGACUCCUACGGGAGGCAGCAGUAAGGAAUAUUGGACAAUGGACGAAAGUCUGAUCCAGCCAUGCCGCGUGAAGGAUUAAGGUCCUCUGGAUUGUAAACUUCUUUUAUAUGGGACGAAAAAAGGGCAUUCUUGUUCACUUGACGGUUACCAUAUGAAUAAGCACCGGCUAACUCCGUGCCAGCAGCCG